GGCUACCUGGCGCAAUGGUAGCGCGUUUGGCUUCGAUUGCUGAAUGUAAACACCAGAUCAGCUACCAUACCAAAAGGUUGCAGGUUCGAGUCCUGCGGUGGUCA